GCUAACAUAAACAACUCAGAUUGUGUAUUAUUUUUCGUUUCAGACUUUAUCCUUCAUCUUCGGAAACUCUAGAGGCUCCAUUUUUUGUUCUUGCCACUAUCCUUCAUCCUCCAUUCACUUUCUCCUUCAUCUUCAUGACUUUUAAGGCCUCAAUAAAUGCCAUCUCUCGUUCUAUUAGCAUCUCCAUCUUCGCAAUCUUCAGCGUCUCGGUAAACGUCACUUUACGGUUAUGUUGAUAGCACCAAAAGAUAUGUAGCAGCACGAACCCCAUUCACCUUUGGCCGUUUUUCAUUUUGUCUCUCUAUUUCUCUCCCAAAUCGCCUGAGCCCUAAUCAACUUUCAUCGUUUGUCAUUUCUUAACUUCUCUUUCAACUUGAAGGAACCCUAACCUACAUCUGGCGAAUCCUAAGCACAAUUUCAGGAUUUUGAUUAGAUCUGGUGUUAUUGUGACAUUGGAGCUCGAAUGCUUCUAUCCUUUAAAGCUUGAAGCGCCUGUGACUUACAGGUAAACAUGAAGGGAGUUCUGGCAGAAAUUGUUGGAGCUUCCUCUCAAUGUUCAAUGGCUUGCUGAAUGUGUUCAACAAGCUUGUGAGCUAUUGGAUCAAGCCAAGUUUAUUAGGGGCGCGCGACAAAUAGUGAGAUAGCACAAUUUUGCGCGACAUUCAUUCUUAGACUUGAGUAUGAAGUAUUACCUAAGCAACAAACUUUUCGAGUUUAGUAUGACAUUGAGUUAGUAUAGGUUUAUUUUGUUAUCUAUACUAAGUCAAUUUAGCUAUAAUUAUUUUAGAAAAUUAUAAAAUAGUGACUAACUUUAGGGACCGAUUUAGUGACUGAUUUAACUAAUAACUUGAUAAAACAAUCACUAAAUCAAUCUCUAAUAUCAAUAAUUAAUCUCCAAAAAUGGUCACUAAAUCAAUCUCUAAAAUUCGGUUGUCAAUUCGAUCGCCACACAUUAGUGACCAGUGAUUUACCUACUGAUUUAAAUUGGUCGCUAAUUGAUUUAAUGACCGUUUUUUUUGAUUUAGUGAUUGAAUUUUUAGUCUCUAAAGGUUGUUUUCUAGUAGUGUCACAUCAAUGGUCCUGCAACUCUUUCUAUUCUUAUUAACUUUAGGUGAUGACACAAAAGGGAAUACUCUGAUUUUUUCCUUAUGUUAUCAUUAUUCAUAUGUUUAUAAUUAUCAUUAUUCAUAUGUUUAUAAUGUAGGUGUAGGAUUUUUGUGCACAAAGCUUCAUUUUGCUGCUUCUUUAUGAAACCUUUAGUAAGUUUUUACUGCAAUUGGACUCUUGUCUGCUAAAAUUAUUUUGAUGCAGGGGCUGGUGCUGUAAUUAAUGUUAAAGAUUUAAUUAAGGUAUGAAGAAUUUUAUGUUAAAUAGCAUUACAAAAAGAACGAGUAAAUCACUCCAAGGGGAGUGAUGUUUUGACCUAUAUGCUUCUCUGCCUAAUUUUUUAAUUACUAUGCUAGUUGUGUAGCGUCUAUAAGUACUAUUGUGAAACAUGAUGACAUGAGUAUAGGUAAUGUUAUUUAAGAUCCAUGGAGAUUAAAGGUGAGAAGCUACCAUAGUAUAUCAAGGUGCGAAGCUUCCAUAGAAUAAGAAUUAGAGAUUUUUUCGUCUUGGUACAGGAUUAUAAAAAUGUUAGGUUACAAAUAUUGGGUCCAUGAGAAAAAUUAGAUAAAUUUUGUGAAUAUUGGUGUGUGGGUUGAAUCUAUGUUACCUUUGAUUAAUAAACCUGCACAAUCUGAAUUGUGUUGGAUUUUGAUGCUGACUUAAUCAUAAUCAUUUGUAUGAUUAAAGCAGUGCUUAAUUUCAAAUACACUUUAAGACAUAGCCACAAAGAGAAAAUAAGGACAUAAUUUGUGGGGACUAAAUCACAAAAGUUAUGGCAAUCAUGUCUUCUUAUGGAGAUUGACACAUUAACAAGUUGAGUGAUUCUCAUUUGUUACUAUCCAUUUCAUAGACUUGAUAUAUUUCAUUUAAUAUAACUCUUGGUUUUUGUUAUUGAUUUAUUCCAUCAUUUGCUUGAUUUCAUGUUUAUCUAAUUGUCAUUUUCUUUGUGGUUUAUACUUUUUAUAUUUGAACAUAUUUCAUGUUGGUUUUCUCUGUGCAUAUAUAUAUCCAUCAGUUACAUGUAUUGGUUCUUUUCUGCAUAUGAAUUACUAAUGAAACAUGAUGACAUGAGUUUAGGUAAUGUUAUUUAAGAUCCAUGGAGAUUAAAGGUGAGAAGCUACCAUAGUAUAUCAAGGUGCGAAGCUUCCAUAGAAUAAGAAUUAGAGAUUUUUUCGUCUUGGUAUAGGAUUAUAAAAAUGUUAGGUUACAAAUAUUGGGUCCAUGAGAAAAAUUAGAUAAAUUUUGUGAACAUUGGUGUGUGGGUUGAAUCUAUGUUACCUUUGAUUGAUAAACCUGCACAAUCUGAAUUGUGUUGGAUUUUGAUGCUGACUUAAUCAUAAUCAUUUGUAUGAUUAAAGCAGUGCUUAAUUUCAAAUACACUUUAAGACAUAGCCACAAAGAGAAGAUAAGGACAUAAUUUGUGGGGACUAAAUCACAAAAGUUAUGGCAAUCAUGUCUUCUUAUGGAGAUUGACACAUUAACAAGUUGAGUGAUUCUCAUUUGUUACUAUCCAUUUCAUAGACUUGAUAUAUUUCAUUUAAUAUAACUCUUGGUUUUUGUUAUUGAUUUAUUCCAUCAUUUGCUUGAUUUCAUGUUUAUCUAAUUGUCAUUUUCUUUGUGGUUUAUACUUUUUAUAUUUGAACAUAUUUCAUGUUGGUUUUCUCUGUGCAUAUAUAUAUCCAUUAGUUACAUGUAUUGGUUCUUUUCUGCAUAUGAAUUACUAAUGAACGAAUGAAGAGAAGUUUAACCAAAUAAAAAGGCUUUUUAGUCUUCAUUGGUUUUUAUAUAACGUUAAUAUGUUAUGUUUCUACUUGCAGAAGGAAAGAGCUUGAAUAAUGCAAUUGUUGGUUGUAACCUGCUUAUUUGCUGUUGCUGCCACAAUAGUGGAGACAUAUGUUCCUAUGACUCUUGGUUUGUUGGUAGAAACUUGCAAUCAAGGCUUAUUUUGAAUUUUUAUCCUUACCUGUAAAGUUCUUUAUUUCCCUUUACUGUAUAAUUAUUGUAUCUAUCUUCCCACUUUCUUAGGAAUCUUAUUUCACUCUACUACUAAAUUGUUUUGAUAAAUGUAUUUAAAUAAAUUUUGAUAAAUUUGAUCUUUAA